GACGAACGCUGGCGGCGUGCUUAACACAUGCAAGUCGAACGGAAAGGCCCUGCUUUUGUGGGGUGCUCGAGUGGCGAACGGGUGAGUAACACGUGAGUAACCUGCCCUUGACUUUGGGAUAACUUCAGGAAACUGGGGCUAAUACCGGAUAGGAGCUCCUGCUGCAUGGUGGGGGUUGGAAAGUUUCGGCGGUUGGGGAUGGACUCGCGGCUUAUCAGCUUGUUGGUGGGGUAGUGGCUUACCAAGGCUUUGACGGGUAGCCGGGCUGAGAGGGUGACCGGAAAAGUUGGGCCGGGAAUCCGCCCCGGACCCGAAUGGUAGGGGAGGGAGGGGAGUGGAAUAAAGGGGGAGGAGCGAUAGUGCGGUACCGCCGUGGGGGGUGUGAGGUGUUUGGGUUAGGAAACCACUUCCCCUUGACACGAGGCGUGAGUGACGGUAGGGGGAAAAGAAGCCCCGGCUAACUACGUG
rnacentral:rRNA from 1 species